UAAUCUUACAAUUAAAGGAUAUUUCUUGCAAGUUAAUGCGAAAACGGAAAUGUCCCUUAAUUGUUUGGCUAAGUAUAUUC
ensembl:miRNA eel-mir-7552-1 eel-mir-7552-1